CCUGAGGCGCUUUCCAGAUGGAAAACUUUAGAAGUGAUUUGUACUGAUAUCUCAUUUGACCUUUUCUUCUGGAGAGGUCCUCAACCAACUUUACACAUUUGUAUUGGUUGUAAUCGUGGUGUCCUCCUACUCUUACACUACGAUCAGAUGUUUAAUUGUAGGCGCUUCACGAUUUUGAGUUGGGUGGCUGACAAGGUUAUCAGUAGUACAUUUUGAG
rnacentral:lncRNA from 1 species